rnacentral:rRNA from 1 species
UACGUAGGGUGCGAGCGUUAAUCGGAAUAACUGGGCGUAAAGGGUGCGCAGGCGGAAAUGUAAGUUAGAUGUAAAAAUCCUGAGCUUAACUUGGGGCGGUCAUUUAAUACUGCAUAUCUAGAGUAUGUCAGAGGGGGGUAGAAUUCCAAGUGUAGCAGUGAAAUGCGUAGAGAUUUGGAGGAAUACCGAUGGCGAAGGCAGCCCCUUGGGAUAAUACUGACGCUCAGGCACGAAAGCGUGGGUAGCAAACAGG